rnacentral:rRNA from 1 species
CGGAUACGGGUUGUGAGAGCAAUAACCCGGAGAUGAUAUCUGAGACACGAUAUCAGGCCCUACGGGGCGCAGCAGGCGCGAAAACUUCACAAUGCGCGAAAGCGCGAUGAGGGGAUCCCAAGUGCUUGCACGUAAGUGUAAGCUGUUUUUCUGUCUAAAAAGCAGAGAGAGUAAGGGCUGGGUAAGACGGGUGCCAGCCGCCGCGGUAAUACCUGCAGCUCAAGUGGUGGCCGCUAUUAUUGGGCCUAAAACGUCCGUAGCCGGCUGAGUAAAUGCCUGGGUAAAUCGUGCCGCUUAACGGUACGAAUUCCGGGUAGACUGCUUAGCUUGGGACCGGAAGAAGUUAGAGGUACUCCUGGGGUAGGGGUGAAAUCCUGUAAUCCUGGGGGGACCACCAGUGGCGAAGGCGUCUAACUAGGACGGGUCUGACGGUGAGGGACGAAGCCCUGGGGCGCAAACCGGAUUAGAUACCCGGGUAGUCCAGGGUGUAAACGCUGCUUGCUUGAUGUUAGCUGGGCUCCGAGCUCAGCUAGUGUCGGAGAGAAGUUGUUAAGCAAGCUGCCUGGGAAGUACGGUCGCAAGACUGAAACU